CAGCAGGGCUCGGAGCCCCGGCACGGGGGCUGUGGGUGAGCAGGAUUGUGGCAGCCGAGCCCCGCGACCGCCCCGUGCGCUCUCUGCACAGCCAGGCCGGGAGGGAAAACACCUCUGCUGAUGUACAAACACCACCAAGGGACUAGAAAAGCAUGACUUGCUUCAGGAACGUGCAUGCAGCCAGUUAAGGUGUCUCAGCUGCUCCCACAUCUCAAAACACCCCGAAUUCCUGUGGAUGAAGGCUUACAACACCCCGUGCAGCCUGGGCACCUGCAGGGCUGGGCAGCGGGCACAGAACAGUUAAGUGACUUGCACAAGGGUGAAUCAGCAGGACUUGAGGAACUCAACCUGAAGCCCUUUACGUCCUUGAUUGCUGUUAUUCAACCCUGA
rnacentral:lncRNA from 1 species